rnacentral:rRNA from 1 species
AUUGAACGCUGGCGGCAUGCUUUACACAUGCAAGUCGAACGGUAACAGGGUGCUUGCACCGCUGACGAGUGGCGAACGGGUGAGUAAUACAUCGGAAUGUACCCAGUAAUGGGGGAUAACGCUUCGAAAGGAGUGCUAAUACCGCAUACGCCCUGAGGGGGAAAGUGGGGGACCGCAAGGCCUCACGUUAUUGGAGCAGCCGAUGGCUGAUUAGCUAGUUGGUGAGGUAAAGGCUCACCAAGGCGACGAUCAGUAGCGGGUCUUAGAGGACGAUCCGCCACACUGGAACUGAGACACGGUCCAGACUCCUACGGGAGGCAGCAGUGGGGAAUCUUGGACAAUGGGGGCAACCCUGAUCCAGCCAUUCCGCGUGAGUGAAGAAGGCCUUCGGGUUGUAAAGCUCUUUUGUCCGGGAAGAAACGGUUUCAACUAAUACUUGAGACUACUGACGGUACCGGAAGAAUAAGGACCGGCUAACUACGUGCCAGCCGCCGCCGUAAGAC